GCGCGCGGCAAGCGAGAGUUCCGGACGUGUUACAGGGGGAGGGGAUUCGAUAAUGGCUAUGGAAUUGCAGUUUCCCGCCGCGCCGACGCUCACUGUCAGACCUGAAAUUCUCAGAGUUAGGGUUCGAAUCAGGCUCGAGACUUAACUAUGAUCUUCAUUUCAUGGCAGCCUAGGGAAGAAAACGUAUUCGUAAUCGUUGCGUUCAUGACACAACUAGCGUAGACCUGCUGUAUUCUGUAUAGUUUAGAGCUUUGAAGUGUUAAAAACGCUACCAUUGGCUAUGGGAUUCUGAAAAAGACCAAGAUGAAGAAAUGACGGAAGAGGAAGAAGAACAUCGAUUCUAAAAACGAAGAGGCUGGCAAGCCUGAGAUGUUUAGUUGUUGAAUGCCGAGCUGUUACUAUUUGUGUACUAUAUACCAAAGAACUAAAGUCACUUAUGAACAACUAGUACAGAAUUGCAGUUGGAGUUUCGUGCCUGUUGGACAUGAGGUAGAAACUUUCUCCACUUCAUUUGCUGCAAAUCGGUCGAUCGAUCCAUGACGAACGGGGCCUCUUAUCUUACAUGUUGGAACUAUUCUAGCAAAUUCACUGGCUCGUGAAAAUGGCCCACAUCAAUUAUUGAGUGGGAGUAUCUGAUCCUCCACAAUCAGAUGAUGUGUAAAGCAGAACCUUUUGAUGUGGAAAAGUUUUGUCACAAUCCCCCAAUC